rnacentral:rRNA from 1 species
CGCGAAUCGCCCUUCGGGGUGCAGCAGGCGCGAAAACUUUACAAUGCUGGCAACAGCGAUAAGGGGACCUUGAGUGCCAGGAUACAAUCCUGGCUGUCGUGAUGCCUAAAAAGCAUUAUAUAGCAAGGGCCGGGCAAGACCGGUGCCAGCCGCCGCGGUAACACCGGCGGCUCGAGUGGUAACCGCUAUUAUUGGGUCUAAAGGGUCUGUAGCCGGCUUGGUUAGUCUCUUGGGAAAUCCGGCAGCUUAACUGUCGGGCUUUCAGGAGAUACUGCCAGGCUCGAGACCGGGAGAGGUGAGAGGUACUUCAUGGGUAGGGGUGAAAUCUUGUAAUCCUUGAAGGACCACCAGUGGCGAAGGCGUCUCACCAGAACGGAUCUGACGGCAAGGGACGAAAGCUAGGGGCACGAACCGGAUUAGAUACCCGGGUAGUCCUAGCCGUAAACGAUACUCGCUAGGUGUCGGCCACGGUGCGACCGUGGUCGGUGCCGUAGGGAAGCCGUGAAGCGAGCCACCUGGGAAGUACGGCCGCAAGGCUGAAACUUAAAGGAAUUGGCGGGGGAGCAC